rfam:Felis catus isolate Cinnamon breed Abyssinian chromosome E3, whole genome shotgun sequence.
GCCUGAGUGGCUCAGUGGGUUGAGCGUCCGACUUCGGCUCAGGUCAUGAUCUCACGGUUCGUGGGUUCCAGCCCCACGUCGGGCU